UAAGUUGGGCACUCUAGAGAGACUGCCAGGGAUAACCUGGAGGAAGGUGGGGAUGACGUCAAAUCAUCAUGCCCCUUAUGCUUAGGGCUACACACGUGCUACAAUGGGUAGUACAGAGGGUUGCCAAACCGUAAGGUGGAGCUAAUCCCUUAAAGCUACUCUCAGUUCGGAUUGUAGGCUGAAACUCGCCUACAUGAAGCUGGAGUUACUAGUAAUCGCAGAUCAGAAUGCUGCGGUGAAUGCGUUCCCGGGUCUUGUACACACCGCCCGUCACACCACGGGAGUUGGAGACGCCCGAAGCCGAUUAUCUAACCUUUUGGAAGAAGUCGUCGAAGGUGGAAUCAAUAACUGGGGUGAAGUCGUAACAAGGUAGCCGUAUCGGAAGGUGCGGCUGGAUCACCUCCUUU
rnacentral:rRNA from 1 species